UUGAUUAAAAAUUAGCUCUCUAUUGUGUGUGUGUUUUUGUGUUAAAUGGACAAAAGAGUACAGGGACUACUUGUUAAGCUAAAGAAUGACUUAAGAAACAGGCAAGAAAACAAGUAAUGCCCUGAACCAUGUUUAAAGGUAAUAGUGAACAGGCAAUUAUUUCACGAGUAGCACGAGUGUUAUAGCUAGGGUUGCCGAAUCUUUAACUAUCAAAUAGCACAAUGCACAGUCAGCUGGGCAUAGCGUAAAUAUGCACUGUCCAUCCAUAAUCUUAUAACAAAAAUACUGUAAAAUGUUGGUUUUCAGUUUAAUCAAUACCUCAUGUAAAACAAUAAAGACAAAUACAGUAAAUUAUAACAGAAGUCACAAGGCCAUUUCCUUUGAAAAAUAAGCAAAAAGGAAACAAAUACUGUAAAUACAGUCUUCAUUUACCCAGCUUAUUCUACUACGCAGACCAAACAAACGACCCCUUCUUUUCACUAAUCACGUAUUACUCCACACUUGUAUGCGGGACAGGCCGUCACUGUAUGGAACGCGAAGUACGAUUGCGGUCAAAUCAGAUUUGGUAUUUGUAAGAGUGCCAUCUGUUGGUCAGAAAGUGACAUUGCAGUAACGGUCCGGGGCAUUUAAGGUCGAGUAAGGGACAAACCAAUGACAGUAUAGAAAUCAGUUUUGCGCAUUAUACUGUGGUAUACCUUAGUUGCCACUUGCCUAAAUUAGGAUUAUCUUCCAGUGACAAUUCCCAAAUAUAACGGUGUAAGAGAAGCUGCAAAGAUCACUGACAUGACAUGUGAAGAGAAAUCUGAGAUCUCCAUGGCAAAGACACGUCAGCUGUUGUCAGAAGCUCAGUUACUUAUGAGAGACAUUGAAGAGAUGAUGAAUUGGUGUGCAUCGUUAGAUCUCUCCAACCAGAGACAGCAAAGAAUGAAUCAGCAGGAGUGUCGGGCCAGCAUAGAGGAGGACGGAGAGACCUUGGUCAUAGAGGGCUUCAGGUUUGAGAGUGCAGCAAGCAGGCAGGAGCUGAAGAGGCUGAGUUCACAGGCUGCUGCAGGAGGAUGCCAGGGUGACACGUGACUGACUUCCAACUUUGUGAGUCCAUUAUGCAGGCUGAUCAAGGUCGCAUGACUGACAGCGGUAGAGGAAAAAAACCAACAUAACACAUGUUUACUCUUAUAUAUAUCUCUGAAGCCAUAUAUAUGAUCUAGUAUAAAGAAUACUUACUAUUUUAAGGAAAAGUGUUUCUAAAUAUUUUCUGUAAGACUAUAAAUUUCCAUUUAUUGUUGGUUUUUUAAAAAAUAUCUUUUAUUAGUAGUUUGUCUGCUUGUUGUAUUCAACUGUGGUGCAUUUAAUUAUAGUGCUGGACAUUUUCCCCGGUAUGCAACAACACGCUGUGAAUGAGAGCUGAGGGGAGGACAUGGUCUGCUCUCUGAUUACACGGAGCUUUUAGGCUGUUCAGUGUCUUUCCUGUUUAUACUAUAGUGUAGCUUGUGAGUGCUUUUAUUAUAGUGAAGUUUCAUAGCUCACUGUGCUUGCUAGUACAGCUGGCUUAACAAAGUACUGUAUUAUAAAUAAAAUAUUACAUUGCCUUUCUUGGA